rnacentral:tRNA from 1 species
UGGUCUCGUGGUGUAGCGGUUAACAUGCCUGCCUGUCACGCAGGAGAUCGCGGGUUCGAUUCCCGUCGAGACCGUC